rnacentral:lncRNA from 1 species
GAAGAGGGAGGUCCGUGUCAAGGCACGGUUCGUGAGUUGGUGAAGGGAAAGCUAGUGGUCGAAAUGGCUAUGUCGGGGGAUGGGUUAAUUCCGAUAAUAAUUCAAGGAGGCGACGCUCUGUAUCUGUUGUCCGAUAUCAAAUUAGUGAUUCUGAGGUGAAAUUCUUUUCUCCUUUUUAUUCUGUGAUUUUUAACGCAUCACAGCUUUGCUAUGGUGUUGAAGAUCUGAGUUUUGCAUGUUUCGCUUUAUAACUUGUGGGUACUUUUUGUUCUUAACGUUAUAAUGGUGUUUGAAUCGGGUUGGAUCAGGUAGAGGGUUUGAUGUGAACAGAUUAUCAGCGGAGGAGGCGGAAGGAGUAGCAAUGUCAUUGCCAAACAGUGUUGUGUCGUCAUUUUAGAUGGAUUUUGGGAUUAGAAACAGAAGCUAUAAAAGAGAUAUGGAAGCCAUUGAUGUCGAGAGAGUGUGGAAAGUAUUAGAGAAGCUGUGGUGGACGAAGCAGAGGAGCUCCGAUUGGAAGAAGAUGAGUCAUCAGUGGACGAAGCAGAGGAUUUCGCAAUGGGAGUUCGCUUGGUAGUGGACCUGCAAGUUAUAAAGCGAGUGAGGUCAGGAGUAGAAAGGUUGUAUUUUAGUAGUGGACCUGCAAGUGGCCAUUUGGGAGGAAGCAGGUGAGGUCAGGAGUAGAAGAAACUGUUAUGG